UACGUAGGGUGCGAGCGUUAAUCGGAAUUACUGGGCGUAAAGCGUGCGCAGGCGGUUUUGUAAGCCAGAUGUGAAAUCCCCGGGCUUAACCUGGGAAUGGCAUUUGGGACUGCAAGGCUUGAGUGCGGCAGAGGAGACUGGAAUUCCUGGUGUAGCAGUGAAAUGCGUAGAUAUCAGGAGGAACACCGAUGCGAAGGCAGGUCUCUGGGCUGACACUGACGCUCAUGCACGAAAGCGUGGGGAGCAAACAGG
rnacentral:rRNA from 1 species